UCCAUGGAGGACUAGUGGUUAGGCCUUGGCGCUCUAACCGCCACGGCCUGGGUUCGAUUCCCAGCCAGGGAG